UGGGGGAUAUUGCACAAUGGGGGGAACCCUGAUGCAGCGACGCCGCGUGAGGGAAGAAGGUUUUCGGAUUGUAAACCUCUGUCUUCGGUGACGAUAAUGACGGUAGCCGAGGAGGAAGCCAUGGCUAACUACGUGCCAGCAGCCGCGGUAAUACGUAGAUGGCAAGCGUUGUCCGGAAUUACUGGGUGUAAAGGGAGCGUAGGCGGGAUAGCAAGUUGGAUGUGAAAAACCCAGGCUCAACCUGGGAGGUGCAUUCAAAACUGCAGUUCUUGAGUGAAGUAGAGGCAGGCGGAAUUCCUAGUGUAGCGGUGAAAUGCGUAGAUAUUAGGAGGAACACCAGUGGCGAAGGCGGCCUGCUGGGCUUUUACUGACGCUGAAGCUCGAAAGCAUGGGUAGCAAACAGG
rnacentral:rRNA from 1 species